AUAAAGGAAUAUGCUGGCAAGUAAUGUAUACCCUAAUGUAAUUACAAGUAAUUAGAGAGUAUAAAAUUGGGAAUAAAUGACUACCAUUAUAAUCAUAAUGGAUUAUGAAUAAUAUAUCAAUCGGAGUGCAUCAUAUUUACAAAAUAACAACCGUUAUCAAACCAUGAAUUCAUAAUACAAAUUCCUUUAAACAAUGUCAAUUGCAACACUCUCAGAGCCUAAUAUCAGGAGAAAGUUCAAAAUGUCUGUGGAUGGCCCUUGUAUUGGCAGUAAGGUAAUGGUGCCUCCCUCUUUGGGAGGCAGCAUUACCACUCAUCAGUCAAAUGCAUUGUAAAUUACAGGGCCCGGGUAAUAAAACCAGAUUUGUACAUCACCAGGACUGGAGACUGUCUGUCUUGUAAAUUUAAUUAAACAGCAGGUGCAAAAUCAGGUCAUGUGGCUUUGAUGUGUCCCAUGUGAGAAUGACAAGCAGACAAAGAUUCUAAUAUGGGAAGCAUUUACAUAUUUUUGCAUGUGCACGCGUGUACAAGGGGAGCUGCCGUCACCGUGUAGAGUAUUCCAAUUCGCCCAAAUUAAGAGAGAUUCAAAUUAGCUGUCACCUUCAAUUUCAAUAGCUCGUCGCCAAAAUAAACGGUUAAGCUCUUCAAAAGCAAUCCCUGCUCGUCAAAUGCAGAGUAAACACACAUAUUACCAACAGCUUGUCGAGACGGGAAGAUUUGCACUAAUCAGGUCUUAUAGCAAAUAAAAUAAAAUGUUAUUGGUCGCAUACACAUAUUUAGCAGGUGUAGCAAAAUGCUUGUGGAGCCAUGAACAGGACGACCAUGUCAAUCAGCGCCAUCUUGUCAAGUCUGUGCACGACAACACAGAAAACCUACCUAAAGAAAACACUCAUCAACCAGUGCCUACAAUACAGUAGAAUCACAUUUGAUUUUCCAACCUACUAGUCAGCUCUUAAUAGACUUGAUCCAGAGUGAUGCACAUCCUCUUAUGGAUGAGUGUGACCUGUGACACCGUUCUCUCGCCAUCUCCGUGGCAGAAGACAGACAUCGAUUGAAGUUGACUAGCGAAAUGUCAGCUGCCUGACCUGAUGGCAACACCUUUGCUUGUUUUUGGGAAGAAGUGGUUGAUAAUUACCACCUAGAAUGUAGCCAUCUGUCCCGCUCUUUCAUGACCUGUUAAACUCGCUUUUCAAAAAGUUUACUGGUGACAGAGGGCACGUGACGGAAAAGAGUGUGCACUCAAGCCAGAGCUAAGGAGCUCAUAGAACCAUUACUGUACUGUAGAUACACCAAACAGCUCUAAUAAACUUGAAGUUAUUAUGGGAAAACAAGGAAAGCAGAAGAGGGAAGAAAAGAUGUCAGAAAAGAUUAAAUAUGAAUUUGAAGUAAUAUGCUUACGGGAAUAAGAACCUAAUUCUGUUGAACAGAACAAAUAACUCAACCAAAGCCAACAACCUAGUGUCACCAUGAGUUAAUCAUCGGUUGCUUUCAAUUUCUCCCACACAUUGCCAAUAGUUUGACAUCUACUCUCAUUCCAGAGAAAGUCAGUGAUUUUGCAACUUACAUAAAACCGACUAUCAGCAUUGUCAAUUACAUAUGGGUUUUUCCCCUAGUCUUCAGAGACACCUGUGUUUUCACAGUAAGGAAUCUGCUAUCAACAACAUGCUUGCCCGAUGUCUAUUUAUCUGUCUGUCAGUUUGACAGAGUCUUUGGGAAAUCCUCACUUGUCAGAACUAUUUCUCUCAUGUUUCACUGAGUUUUUAAUGAGAAGCACCAGGCAAAAUCCACAAGCAACGUGAGAGCAGAAGGGGGGGGACAGGUGGAUAGCUGGGAGCUUCGGUAUAACUGAACACCAUGUGGUAUACAUCUCUUUUGAUUACUGCCACAUCCAAUCACACUAAUCAAACACGCAUCAAAGAGCAGAAGUUAUAGACCGAUGACUGAAUGACACAAUGUAAAGACUGGUGCAGUGUGAAAUCUGCCAACACUAUCAUUGGUGGUUUCAAAACAAUGCACAGUGUCCACCCACUCUGCCAAGACGCACUUUGGUGAUGAAAUUUCACUUCCUUAUGUUAUCAAAUACAUUUUACCAAGACAAAUAUGAUUAUUCAUGUCUGAAUCAUUGUGGGGUCUUUCUCUAACAUAUUAGUAUUAUAUCCAAAAAGUUGGAUUUCGUAAUCUAAUACAUACGAUAAUAAGCACCAAGAUCUGUUGACAUCGUGGUACAGGUUUCUCAUAACUUCUAAAGAUGUUACAUUUUGAGGUCAUCGUCUUCCAAGUAGUUAACAGGUCGCAAAAAGCAAAUGAGAAUGAAUUAAAUGUAAAAGACUGAUAAUAAAAAGCUUGGAAUGCUCAGCGUUCAUUUUAUAGAGAUUCAAUCAUUUCUUACAAACAAGCAUAAAAGAACAGGAAUUUCCAAUUCAUAUGAAAAGUGUGUACUAAAAUAUGAAAAUACGUCAUGUCUCAAAAUCGAUAUCCAUCUUAGCUCUAUAUUGUUUUAUGUCCUGCGGAUUGGAGAAGAAAGAUGACCAGUUCAACAGGGAAGUGAGCCUGUCAGGUAGCCAAUAGCCUUAAAUCUGCCACAGAAUCCAGCCUAGCUGACACAAUGCAAUUUUCCACUUUUUUUUACCACUUUUUUCCCCCUCCGGCCUCCAUUGAUUUAGUCACCCGAAUUCUGACCAUCCCACAAGGGUAAAGACUCCAAUAACUCGAACGGGUUAUGAUAGACACGAGGUUUGGACCAUUGGAAUACUUAGAGGAUUAUCUACAGAAUUAACAUACUAUUUAAAAAACACUGCUCGAAAGAUACAUUUUUGAUUGGAACUUGUGUGAAUUCUGAUUUUUUUCCAGUGCCUGAAUAUCACGACUCAGGAUAAGGCCCAUAUGCAGACAGUUCGAAGCACAGUUAUUUAUUGACAAAUCAGGGGACAGACAAAAGACAGGUCAAGAGCAGGCAGGAGGUCAGUAAUCCAGGGCAGAGUCAGUAAGGUACAGAACGGCAGGCAGGCUCGGGGUUAGGGCAGGCAGAGGUCAGUAAUCCAGGGCAGAGUCAGUAAGGUACAGAACGGCAGGCAGAGGUCAGUAAUCCAGGGCAGAGUCAGUAAGGUACAGAACGGCAGGCAGGUUCGGGGUUAGGGCAGGCAGAGGUCAGUAAUCCAGGGCAGAGUCAGUAAGGUACAGAACGGCAGGCAGAGGUCAGUAAUCCAGGGCAGAGUCAGUAAGGUAAAGAACGGCAGGCAGGCUCGGGGUUAGGGCAGGCAGAGGUCAGUAAUCCAGGGCAGAGUCAGUAAGGUACAGAACGGCAGGCAGAGGUCAGUAAUCCAGGGCAGAGUCAGUAAGGUAAAGAACGGCAGGCAGGCUCGGGGUUAGGGCAGGCAGAGGUCAGUAAUCCAGGGCAGAGUCAGUAAGGUACAGAACGGCAGAAAAAAACCCGACGGUAAGCUUGACGAGACAAGACGAACUGGCAACAGACAAGCAGAAAACACAGGUAUGAAUGCACAGGGGAUAAUGGGGAAAAUGGGCGACACCUGGAGGGGGUGGAGACAAGCACAAGCCAAGUGAAACAGAUCAGGGUGUGACACUAAGGCUAUGCAGCAGUUUGAUAAUGUAGAAUGUGUUUUUUAAAUUUAUUUUACUCUUAAGAUCAAGCCCACAUAGAUCCAUAACCAGGUGUGGUGUUUAGUGGUGUUUCGGGAAGGUGGGAGCUAGAUACAGUAUAUCCAACAUGCUUUUUUGUGACUAUGAACAUUAAGGUGUAAUUGAGCUUUGCAAUGUAACUCGACCCCUUUAAAGAAAAAUACGCAAAUGCUGAGAACUAAAGCUAAACCAGUCAAAAUCCCUCAACUGUAGUUACAUCAUAUGCCUUAUCACACAUGCAGUAGUUACAACAUCUGCCUUAUCCCACAUGCCUUCUCUUGUCCUACAUUCUUGUCCUACAUAUAAUCAAUCUUCCCUUGAAACGAUCUAAGUCAUAAAAUAUGAGUGUUUGCUGAUUGACUCUCCGAUACACAUUUCAAACAUAUUUGUGCAUCUGCAUUCGCCUGCAUUCACUACCAACACAUUCCUCGAGCCUGCUCAGGUCUGAGGGUGUCAGAACAGAUACAGAGAAACAGCUAUUUUUUCACCUGCAGCACAGAACAACAUCUCCACGGAGGCCAGCAGCAGCAGAUAUGUCAUAGCGAGAGAGACAGAGCAGUUGAGAAGGUGAAUGACUGCAGGCGGUCCUCAGAGGGAGAGGUGGAGGGUGGAGCCCCAUGGGUUGGAACAACCCCAUGGAGAGUAGACAUAUCAGCACUAUUGAGUUGUUACACAACAUCUACUGUAGGUCAUGAAUGCACUACCUCUGGUAUUUUAACAUGAACUGGAAAGUUUAGAGGCUCGGUAUGAGGUUGAUAUGAGGUGAAUUUGGUGCAACACAAAAGCAAGAACUUUACAAUUUAGUCAUUUAGCAGAAACUCUUAUCCAGAGUGACUUACAGGAGCAAUUAGUCUUAAGUUCCUUGCUCAAGGGCACAUCGAGAGAGCCUUGUUGGCUCGGGGAUUCAAACCAGUAACCUUUCAAUUAAUGGCCCAAUACUCUAACCACUACCUUCCCCCCCAAUCAAUCCAAUCAGUACUUGGACUGGUAACU
ensembl:lncRNA